AGUUUGAUCCUGGCUCAGGAUGAACGCUAGCUACAGGCUUAACACAUGCAAGUCGAGGGGCAGCAUUUUAGUUUGCUUGCAAACUAAAGAUGGCGACCGGCGCACGGGUGAGUAACACGUAUCCAACCUGCCGAUAACUCGGGGAUAGCCUUUCGAAAGAAAGAUUAAUAUCCGAUAGUAUAUUAAAACCGCAUGGUUUUACUAUUAAAGAAUUUCGGUUAUCGAUGGGGAUGCGUUCCAUUAGUUUGUUGGCGGGGUAACGGCCCACCAAGACUACGAUGGAUAGGGGUUCUGAGAGGAAGGUCCCCCACAUUGGAACUGAGACACGGUCCAAACUCCUACGGGAGGCAGCAGUGAGGAAUAUUGGUCAAUGGACGAGAGUCUGAACCAGCCAAGUAGCGUGAAGGAUGACUGCCCUAUGGGUUGUAAACUUCUUUUAUAUGGGAAUAAAGUAUUCCACGUGUGGAAUUUUGUAUGUACCAUAUGAAUAAGGAUCGGCUAACUCCGUGCCAGCAGCCGCGGUAAUACGGAGGAUCCGAGCGUUAUCCGGAUUUAUUGGGUUUAAAGGGAGCGUAGGUGGAUUGUUAAGUCAGUUGUGAAAGUUUGCGGCUCAACCGUAAAAUUGCAGUUGAAACUGGCAGUCUUGAGUACAGUAGAGGUGGGCGGAAUUCGUGGUGUAGCGGUGAAAUGCUUAGAUAUCACGAAGAACUCCGAUUGCGAAGGCAGCUCACUAGACUGCAACUGACACUGAUGCUCGAAAGUGUGGGUAUCAAACAGGAUUAGAUACCCUGGUAGUCCACACAGUAAACGAUGAAUACUCGCUGUUUGCGAUAUACAGUAAGCGGCCAAGCGAAAGCAUUAAGUAUUCCACCUGGGGAGUACGCCGGCAACGGUGAAACUCAAAGGAAUUGACGGGGGCCCGCACAAGCGGAGGAACAUGUGGUUUAAUUCGAUGAUACGCGAGGAACCUUACCCGGGCUUAAAUUGCAUUUGAAUAAUCUGGAAACAGGUUAGCCGCAAGGCAAAUGUGAAGGUGCUGCAUGGUUGUCGUCAGCUCGUGCCGUGAGGUGUCGGCUUAAGUGCCAUAACGAGCGCAACCCUUAUCUUUAGUUACUAACAGGUCAUGCUGAGGACUCUAGAGAGACUGCCGUCGUAAGAUGUGAGGAAGGUGGGGAUGACGUCAAAUCAGCACGGCCCUUACGUCCGGGGCUACACACGUGUUACAAUGGGGGGUACAGAAGGCAGCUACCUGGCGACAGGAUGCUAAUCCCAAAAACCUCUCUCAGUUCGGAUCGAAGUCUGCAACCCGACUUCGUGAAGCUGGAUUCGCUAGUAAUCGCGCAUCAGCCAUGGCGCGGUGAAUACGUUCCCGGGCCUUGUACACACCGCCCGUC
rnacentral:rRNA from 1 species